AAGAUUAAGCCAUGCAUGUCUAAGUAUAAGCAACUAUACUGUGAAACUGCGAAUGGCUCAUUAAAUCAGUUAUCGUUUAUUUGAUAGUGCCCUUUACUACUUGGAUAACCGUGGUAAUUCUAGAGCUAAUACAUGCAUCAAGCCUCGACUUUUGGAGAGGCGUAUUUAUUAGAUAAAAACCAAUGCCCUUCGGGGCUGCUUGGUGAAUCAUGAUAACGCAACGAAUCGCAU
rnacentral:rRNA from 1 species